rnacentral:rRNA from 1 species
GGAAACCGAGUCUUAACCGGGCGUUAAGUUGCAGGGUAUAGACCCGAAACCCGGUGAUCUAGCCAUGGGCAGGUUGAAGGUUGGGUAACACUAACUGGAGGACCGAACCGACUAAUGUUGAAAAAUUAGCGGAUGACCUGUGGCUGGGGGUGAAAGGCCAAUCAAACCGGGAGAUAGCUGGUUCUCCCCGAAAGCUAUUUAGGUAGCGCCUCGUGAAUUCAUCUCCGGGGGUAGAGCACUGUUUCGGCUAGGGGGCCAUCCCGGCUUACCAACCCGAUGCAAACUGCGAAUACCGGAGAAUGUUAUCACGGGAGACACACGGCGGGUGCUAACGUCCGUCGUGAAGAGGGAAACAACCCAGACCGCCAGCUAAGGUCCCAAAGUCAUGGUUAAGUGGGAAACGAUGUGGGAAGGCCCAGACAGCCAGGAUGUUGGCUUAGAAGCAGCCAUCAUUUAAAGAAAGCGUAAUAGCUCACUGGUCGAGUCGGCCUGCGCGGAAGAUGUAACGGGGCUAAACCAUGCACCGAAGCUGCGGCAGCGAACGUAUCACUUAAAGCGAUUCAGCGGGUUACGAUUGACGGAGCGAAGCGACGUCAAAGCGUAUACAAAGUCGAGUCGGUUUAAGGAUACGUUCGUUGGGUAGGGGAGCGUUCUGUAAGCCUGUGAAGGUGGCCUGUGAGGGUUGCUGGAGGUAUCAGAAGUGCGAAUGCUGACAUAAGUAACGAUAAAGCGGGUGAAAAGCCCGCUCGCCGGAAGACCAAGGGUUCCUGUCCAACGUUAAUCGGGGCAGGGUGAGUCGACCCCUAAGGCGAGGCCGAAAGGCGUAGUCGAUGGGAAACGGGUUAAUAUUCCCGUACUUGGUGUUACUGCGAAGGGGGGACGGAGAAGGCUAUGUUGGCCGGGCGACGGUUGUCCCGGUUUAAGCGUGUAGGUGUGUGUUCCAGGUAAAUCCGGUUCACUUUAACACUGAGGCGUGAUGACGAGGCACUACGGUGCUGAAGCAACAAAUGCCCUGCUUCCAGGAAAAGCCUCUAAGCAUCAGGUAACAUCAAAUCGUACCCCAAACCGACACAGGUGGUCAGGUAGAGAAUACCAAGGCGCUUGAGAGAACUCGGGUGAAGGAACUAGGCAAAAUGGUGCCGUAACUUCGGGAGAAGGCACGCUGACACGUAGGUGAAGUGAUUUACUCAUGGAGCUGAAGUCAGUCGAAGAUACCAGCUGGCUGCAACUGUUUAUUAAAAACACAGCACUGUGCAAACACGAAAGUGGACGUAUACGGUGUGACGCCUGCCCGGUGCCGGAAGGUUAAUUGAUGGGGUCAGCGCAAGCGAAGCUCCUGAUCGAAGCCCCGGUAAACGGCGGCCGUAACUAUAACGGUCCUAAGGUAGCGAAAUUCCUUGUCGGGUAAGUUCCGACCUGCACGAAUGGCGUAAUGAUGGCCAGGCUGUCUCCACCCGAGACUCAGUGAAAUUGAACUCGCUGUGAAGAUGCAGUGUACCCGCGGCAAGACGGAAAGACCCCGUGAACCUUUACUAUAGCUUGACACUGAACAUUGAGCCUUGAUGUGUAG